AUCCAACUGACGCGUCCCGAAUAGGAUGAAAUGUUCGUCUUGGAU
rfam:Schistosoma rodhaini strain Burundi genome assembly, scaffold: SROB_scaffold0022979